AUUUGGGGUAGAAAUAUUGCUUCUUCUGCCAAAGACUUGGUUACUAAUCCUUUCUUAAAAAGCUAGGCAGUUCAUAUGAACUUAGAAUCUUUGUUUUUAUGAAAGAAUUUUCAUUUUCUUUUUAGUUGAAGUCAUCAGCCUGAUCUUUUUAAUUGGUUUGAUUAUCAGAAUCUCUUCAAAUGGAGUUCAAAAUAGCAACAUAUUAAGGGGAAAGGAAGUGCAUUUUGUGCUGGUGGUGAUGUUCUACAUAUGGCCCAUUUUGUAAUCACCAGUAGAUGUCUCUUUUCUAGCCUGCGACAAAUCCUUUAAUGACAAGAUAUAGUACAUUGCAAUAGAUUUUUUUUUUUGGUGAUAUUAAGUCAAUGUACCGAACGUUUUAUGAAACUCAAUUUUGGAUCUUUGUUUGAUGAGUUUUA